AUUUCAUUUAGAUGACUUUCAUUUUCCAAAUUCAUAGGGUCAUAUUGCAGUCAGAGGACAUAUUCAACUGUAGUGAGACCACAUAGUGAGAGUGAGCCCUCCCC